rnacentral:lncRNA from 1 species
UUGAUAUUUAUAGCCAAUUAUGCUUAACCCUAGCAUCGUUAUUAACGGUCGUAAUUAAUGCUUGGACGGCCUUAACCACUUUGGUUUGACUGCCUCGAAAAGCGUCAUCUUUAUUUUUCCAAGGAGUCAAAGUUUUGACCCAUUUAAGCUAACGAAGAUUGCAUAAGAAGGGCGAUACCAAGAAGAAAUAAAGAGCAGCGCAUAAUGGAAAGGAAAUGAUUGAAAUUCAAAUUACUGCAAAGGAGUUCAAAUUACAACAAAAGGGAAUACAACGAAAGCAAAGAUACGAACGGAAAACAAUAAAAGUUUCAAAAUACAGAAGCAAACUACAAACAUAAGAAAGAAAGGCAUAAAGGGAAAGGCGAGCAAGCAAAGACUUCAUGGUAUUGUAGAACUCCCGAAUUCACCAGCAUCGGCGACGACGAUACGAUGCAUUUCCUCCAAUGCCCGUUUCACCCUUUUCGCCUUCACCAUGUUUUCUUCGAUAGGCUUCAAAUCUUCUCUCAGCUCGCCUUGUUUGUCCAAAAGGUCCACCAGAGAGUGACGCCUGGAAAUCAGUUUAGUAACAUCAUCCCUAAUUUCACCUUGAAGAGCCCUCUUUCUCUUCAACAUCGGCUUCAUUUCUUUGUUUAACAUCGUCAAACGGUCAUCCACUCUUCGCUCUUCAUUAAAGCAUAUUCCCAGAAUUUCCUCCUGCACGCCCAUGGUUUCUUUCGUGAUCUCUAUCUAGCUAUCAACAGCUUCAGUAACUUCGGAAUGACACUCCUUGACGUUUUCCAC